CCUUCCGUAGGGGGUACCUGCGGAGGGAUCAUUACCGAGUUUACAACUCCCAAACCCCUGUGAACAUACCUAUACGUUGCCUCGGCGGAUCAGCCCGCGCCCCGUAAAACGGGACGGCCCGCCCGAGGACCCCUAAACUCUGUUUUUAGUGGAACUUCUGAGUAAAACAAACAAAUAAAUCAAAACUUUCAACAACGGAUCUCUUGGUUCUGGCAUCGAUGAAGAACGCAGCAAAAUGCGAUAAGUAAUGUGAAUUGCAGAAUUCAGUGAAUCAUCGAAUCUUUGAACGCACAUUGCGCCCGCCAGUAUUCUGGCGGGCAUGCCUGUUCGAGCGUCAUUUCAACCCUCAAGCUCAGCUUGGUGUUGGGACUCGCGGUAACCCGCGUUCCCCAAAUCGAUUGGCGGUCACGUCGAGCUUCCAUAGCGUAGUAAUCAUACACCUCGUUACUGGUAAUCGUCGCGGCCACGCCGUAAAACCCCAACUUCUGAAUGUUGACCUCGGAUCAGGUAGGAAUACCCGCUGAACUUAAGCAUAUCAAAGCCGGGAGGAA
rnacentral:rRNA from 1 species